ensembl:lncRNA LINC01205 long intergenic non-protein coding RNA 1205
AGUUGCUUCCUGGCUGCUUUACGGUCGAUUUGCAGGCAGUCCGCUUUGUACAAGCCAUGGUAUAGAGGCUUCCUUAUUUACCUCCCUUAUCCUUCAGCUGGAGCUCUGCGAGCCAGAGGCAGCGCUGGCGUUGGAGAGUGAUGGCGGCAUGGCGGUGCGGCGGCGGCUGCGAACACCUUGAGGACGGGUCGCAUUAUGUUGCCCAGGCUGGACUUGAACUUCUGGGCUCGAGCAAUUCUCCCACCUCAGCCUACCAAGCAGCUGGGACUACAGGUCUGCACCACUGCACCCCACCCAUUCAAGUCCACAUCCCCAGAAACGAGGAUAAUGCUUGGCACAAGGUGUUUAUAAUUCCCUUGGUUUUCUUCACAAUUUCACCACAUAAAUGUUUUGAUGACAAGCUUAAAAAAUUUUUUGCUGAGUGGCUGGCAAGAUGGCCCAAUAGGAACAGCUCCAGCCUGCAGCUCCCAGUGAGAUCAACGCAGAAGAAUUCUUCCAACUUUUAAAUGGAACACAAGUGUCCUUUUAAGGUUCAUUAUCCUAUAGUACAUGGAAUCCAAGGAAGAAUUGAUCUCCUUAUCCCUGUGAAUCAUCCAGAUGUUAACUGCUUCUCAGCAUCAUGUCCUCCUCGAGAUCAAUUUGGGAAACUCCUCCCAUGGCAAAGACAGCUAGUUGUCUAUAAUUUGUUUCCUCCUUUUCCUUAGCCCCAGACCCUUGAUUUUUAGCUAGGUAAAUGUCUAUCUAUAAUAAAGACCCCAUUUUCCAGACUUCCUUGCUGCAGGUGUACACAUGUGACUAAAUCCUAGAUGAUGAGAUGUAAGCUGAAAUUGUGUGUGCAACUUCUAAGAAAUGUUUCUAAAAACAGCAGCCACACUUUUCUUUGUGGUUGUCUUCUUCCUAUUAGAAUACAGAUGAAAUGUCAAGGAUUCUAGCAGCCAGCUUCAACAAUAAGAUGACCUUGAGAAGGUAAACUACCUAUAGAAAGUGACAAAAAAUAGUACUUAUCUCAAAGAUACAUGUAAAUAAUAAUGAGAAAAUGCCUAAGAUGUAUUUAGAUAGUGGUUGUCACAUAAAAGUUAUUCAAUAAACAUUUAUUGAUUUU